rnacentral:lncRNA from 1 species
UGACUGGAUGCAAGGAUUUAUUUUGCCCUCCCACUGCAGACCUCUCUGUUAACCACUCAGAGAUGGAAGUGAACACAUAAUCAUGUUUGUCUUCUCUGCUAACAUGGCAGAAAAUACCAAGCUGGAAUUUUGGACUGCACUCACAUGGUGACCACCCUGCUUCUGCAAUAACAACCUUCAUCUCCUCAUGAGGGCAGAGUGCCCGUGACCCAGUGGCUUCCUAAAGUCCCCUGCUCACCACACUGGCAACGGGGAUUCCGUCUCAGCACCUGAACUCAGUGGCAUCUCGUGUUUUCUUUCAAGAAACUCUGUGUGAGGCGGGACAGUGUAAACAGGAUCUUCUCAGGGAAUCGCCUGCCCAGCAGACAUAUUUUCUGGCUAUGAAAACAAAUAGAAAAAAAAAUACUAAAUAAGCAAAAGUCUUUGCAUUGUUGCGUUUUUUGAAAAAGUAAAGAGCCAAAACAUUUAUUUAAUAACCCACCCCACUGAAGGAACCACAGGAUGCCAAAGGAACACAGGCUUGGGGCCCUCUGAAGAAAGUGAGCCCUGACCCCAAAUUCUUCUUCCUAAUAUGCAAAUGAGCUCACCAACAACUUUCUGCUGCUCCUCAACGCCUGAGAUUUCCCAGCAUGCCUUGUCACAGGAGAAACCACCCUUGGAUCACUGUCCUCUGAUU